CCGGCACCCGCCUCUUCUGGGCCGAGCGGGAGAGGGGCGUGAUCCACAGCGUGGAGCUGGACGGCUCCCGCUUCCGCGUGGUGCGCGAAGGGCUGCACGGCCUCGCGCUCUUCGCCAUCGGGGAGGGCUUCCUGCUCUGGACCACGGCGCACACCAACGGCUCCACCAAGGUCUGGCACAGCCRGCUGGAGCGGGCCGAGAGCUGGUGGUUCCCGGUGGAGCAGGAGCUGCUGGAUGUGAGGAUAUACAGCCCCUUCUCGCAGGGAGGCACCCACGGCUGCGCGGAGAGCAACGGGGGCUGCGCGCAGCUGUGCCUGCCCAACGCGGCGGG